rnacentral:rRNA from 1 species
AGAGUUUGAUCAUGGCUCAGAUUGAACGCUGGCGGAAUGCUUUACACAUGCAAGUCGAACGGCAGCAUAGGUGCUUGCACCUGAUGGCGAGUGGCGAACGGGUGAGUAAUACAUCGGAACGUACCUUAUCGUGGGGGAUAACGCAGCGAAAGCUGUGCUAAUACCGCAUACGCCCUGAGGGGGAAAGCGGGGGAUCGCAAGACCUCGCGCGAUUAGAGCGGCCGAUGCCUGAUUAGCUAGUUGGUGGGGUAAAAGCCCACCAAGGCGACGAUCAGUAGCUGGUCUGAGAGGACGAUCAGCCACACUGGGACUGAGACACGGCCCAGACUCCUACGGGAGGCAGCAGUGGGGAAUUUUGGACAAUGGGGGCAACCCUGAUCCAGCAAUGCCGCGUGAGUGAAGAAGGCCUUCGGGUUGUAAAGCUCUUUUGUCAGGGAAGAAACACCGGCUCUAACACAGUCCGGGAAUGACGGUACCUGAAGAAUAAGCACCGGCUAACUACGUGCCAGCAGCCGCGGUAAU